CUCAGUGGCAGUCUCCUCCACCAUCUACCAGUUGGCCAAAAAUCCUGAGAAGCAGCAAAAGCUCUUCCAAGAAUUGCAACGCCUGUUUCCCACACACGAAGCGGAAAUUAAUCAAAAUGUCCUUGAACAGAUACCAUAUUUAAGGGCAUGUGUCAAGGAGACCUUAAGAAUGUAUCCGGUGGUCAUUGCCAAUGGACGCAGUUUACAAUCGGAUGCCGUUAUUAAUGGCUACCACAUACCAAAGGGCACAAACGUCAUCUUUCCCCACUUAGUGGUAUCGAAUGAUCCCACAUAUUUCCCUGAACCUAAAUCAUUUUUACCGGAACGUUGGCUUAAGCAAAGCGAAAUAAACAGUAAGUAUAAAUAGCAAUUCAGG
rnacentral:sRNA from 1 species